rnacentral:misc_RNA from 1 species
GCCAACGCCAGAACGAAAGAGUCCAUUAGAGCGAUGGAACUGAAAGUCAGGGACCGCUCCGCCGAGUUUGCUGAGCGGCGCGCCACUGCGGGCGCAAGGUGUCACCGCUCUGAAUCUGCCGUACCAGAGCAGCCAACGGAACAGCUUUUUACAGCUCCGCUUUGGAGCAGACUCCCAUCUGACUUUGAGGAAAACGCACUUGCGCUCUCACAUCAAAUCGACCAGCUCCGUUCGAAUCACCGCCUCUUCCUGAAGCCGAAGCUCCGCAGCAAAGACGAGGAAGACCAGCUGCGAGCUUUAAUUGAUAAGCAGGCAGUCGAGAUUCAGGCCUUUCUCAAGAUGUUGGAGCAUACUAUUGUUCUCGGCACCCAGCUCAAAAGCACGUACUCUGAGGAAGAAGGACGCAUUGUCAAAAGCGUCCAGACGCACCUGACAGCUCGUUUCAAGGAGGUCGCUCUACAAUUCAAGUCUACCCAGGAACUAUUUGGAGCUGAGCUGCAACGGCGAGAGCAGAAGUCUAGCAAGUACAUGAAGAUUGGAAGCGAUGCUGCCUACGAGGCGGUUCAGCAAGAGGAACGAACUGUCCAAUUUCUCGAAAUGGGCUUCACAGAGCAGGACGCACAGUCUCUCCUGAUCGAAGAUAUGCAACGAGAUCAAACGAGCAAAGAGAUCAAGGAUAUCCUUGACAGCAUACAAGAGAUUCACCGCAUGUUCGAGGGUCUUCACACCCUGGUAGUCGAUCAGGGAACAAUGCUGGACAGGAUCGAUUACAAUGUAGACAAAGCAUUGGUGAGUGCAUCGAAAGCACAGAUCGAACUGGAAAAAGCUCGCGAGAAUCAGAGCAGCUGCAUCCUUAUGUAGCUUCGGCGCGUCUUGCUUUUGUCUACCCCUGCUCAGCAAACUGCACCACCAUUUUUUCACUCUCCGCGCUUUUCCUUCUCGCCGCAUAC